GAUGAACGCUAGCUACAGGCUUAACACAUGCAAGUCGAGGGCAGCGGGAUUGAAGCUUGCUUCAAUUGCCGGCGACCGGCGCACGGGUGAGUAACGCGUAUCCAACCUUCCGUACACUCAGGGAUAGCCUUUCGAAAGAAAGAUUAAUACCUGAUGGUAUGAUGAGAUUGCAUGAUAGCAUCAUUAAAGAUUUAUCGGUGUACGAUGGGGAUGCGUUCCAUUAGGUAGUAGGCGGGGUAACGGCCCACCUAGCCGACGAUGGAUAGGGGUUCUGAGAGGAAGGUCCCCCANAUUGGAACUGAGACACGGUCCAAACUCCUACGGGAGGCAGCAGUGAGGAAUAUUGGUCAAUGGACGAGAGUCUGAACCAGCCAAGUAGCGUGAAGGAUGAAGGUCCUACGGAUUGAAACUUCUUUAUAAGGGAAUAACCCUCCACGUGUGGAGCUUGUAUGUACCUUAUGAAUAAGCAUCGGCUAACUCCGUGCCAGCAGCCG
rnacentral:rRNA from 1 species